AGGCUAACAGAAACCCAGCCCUGCCCACUGGGUGAAACUGCAAGUCGAGAGCGUGGGAAACCAGCAAGUUGAGAGAGGAUCCAGAAGUAACCCCUUCUAAAACGGGAAAGAUGCCUUCCGAAAGCACUUGGCCCUAAAGAGAAAACACUAGGAGGAUGGGAACCAGGGACAGAGAAGCUACUUGCUCUGCAGCUGUUUGGGCCAGAUGUGACUUGCUCCUCCUUGUUUUCCAACAUGAUUGUGAGGCCUCCCCAGCCACGUGGAACUGCAGAGACACAAGCCGCUGGACGUCGAGAGGAACACAUUGGUGGAGGAACUCACAGGUGGCUGGAUGUCAAGAGGAACACACUGGCGGAAGAGCACACUGACAAGCACCAGCAGACAACGGCACGCUGGGGCACGCCGGCAGGCCAUCAACCUGCAGAACGAUGUGGAGUUUGGCCUGGGCAGUCGGAGGAGAGUCCAGCUGCUGAGCAGUCCGACUCCAGGAAAAAAACACCUUCCCAUUCCAUCUCCCUUCUGGCUCUCCCAUCUUCUGAGAGCUACUUCCAUUCAAUAAAACCUUGCACUCAUUCUCCAA
rnacentral:lncRNA from 1 species